rnacentral:rRNA from 1 species
UACAGAGGUGGCAAGCGUUGUUCGGAAUUACUGGGCGUAAAGGGCGCGUAGGCGGUCUUCUAAGUCUUGUGUGAAAUCCCUCGGCUCAACUGAGGAACUGCACGGGAUACUGGAUGACUUGAGUUCGGGAGAGGGAAGCGGAAUUCCGGGUGAGCGGUGAAUGACGUAGAUAUCCGGAGGAACACCGGUGGCGAAGGCGGCUUCCUGGACCGAUUCUGACGCUGAGGCGCGAAAGCUAGGGGAGCAAACGGG